GGAAGAGGUAUGGUCAAGUUUGAACUAUCAUAUGCAAAUUGUUCAUGCAAGCUCACUUUUUGUCUAGAGUGGUAUUUGAUCAUCUUGAUAGCAUUGGUACUUCCAAGAAAUUUUAUUUUAUUCCUUACCAAAAUCUGUGCAAAUUGAAUCUUUAUAAUAUGUGCUGGAGUUGGUAGUUGAAGAUUUAGAAAUUCAUCAAUGAAGGUGUCUAUUUACUAAUUGACUCGCAGUAAAAUUUGGGAGCCAGUCUGCCACCAAGUUCGGGGAAUGUUGAUGCCACACUUUUAUCAAUUUAGGAUUAGAUUUAGUUCUUGGCUGUCCAAAAGUCAUUCAAAC
rnacentral:misc_RNA from 1 species